GUUACGCUUCGUACAUUGAGAGUUGUUCGUAAUGUAGUACGCGUUGUCGCAGAAGAAAAUCGUAUAACGUGUUCGUACUGUGUGCGGUUGUAGACGUGUGGAUGGUUCUCGCGCAUGACGUUUGUCAAGAACGUAGUCGGUAGUUUUAUAAAGUUUUGGUAAUUAGCUCACUAGCACGCACUGCGCUACGUUAAUAUUUGUUGAAAGGAGCCAACAUUUUCAUGAAGCACACCAUUGUCAUGCGUUUUAUUAAUGUAGUUCACUCUUGUAAACUUACUUACAGCAACGCCCGAAACUGAAGCUUCAUCAUUCAUUUCUUUCGCACGAGAUCUGAAGGAAUAAUUUUCAGUCACCGUGUUGUGCGGUGAAUCGUGAAUCGGUAGUGUGGGGGAUGUAAUGUGUAUCUAGAAAUAUUUGCUUUAGGCGUGCAUUUUAUGUGUCCUUAAGUAACGUGACCCUCAAACGCGUUUAAGUUAGCAUUAUUGGACAUUGCUUAUCGUCUUUCAAGCAACAGCUAACGUAUAUUUGCGAAAAAUGCAAUUUCUGCAGCAUGACACUAUGUUGUUCAGUUGGUUUGCCCCAUUUUAACCUUUAUGUGCAUUGACCUAAUUUGACAAGCCAUACUUUCAGCUGAAUUUUCAUUUGCAUUCAGCAUUAAUAUGUGCGUCCGUGCAUUGAAGUUUCACCUCUCAUCGCAUAAUAAUAGCUUGUAAAGAACAACGCUUGUCUUUUUUAGCCAUUUACCCAUUUAGCCAUUUAUCAGAGCUCUGCUCCCCUCCUCAAAGGGCAAGGUGCUGCUGGCACACCUGCUUCGGCUUUCCUUUUUUUCUUUUGAAUGCUUAAGUCUUUCGUAACGUACUGCAGGUAGCAAACAGCAGUGCCACGACAAACAGUGGGGUGCUGACCAUGCAGUCCAGAAGGUGGCCGAGGCAAGCAUGCCAUAAGGGGUGCUUAUUCAGGCAGAAGAAAUAAGCAUCUGUAGCCAACGUAAAGGAAGCAUCUUCAAAAAGCAGUGCUACAAGGAUGUGAGCAGAAAUUUCCCUUCAACGAAUGGGUCAAAUUCAUGGAAGCCACGUGCCUGCUGCUUCUGGCCUACACAAGCAUGCAGCCACCAUAGUAAAGUUCUUGCAAAGGUAUUCUACACAAACUUGCCUAAAGGCGGAAUAAAGGCACGUACAGAUAGACGCACUGAAAUCAUGGGGCUGCCAUAGAAGCUGUGAAUGAGCAUUAACCUGCGAACGUACAGAAUGGAGCGAAGUGGAGCUCUCCAUGGGCCGCGCACACAGUUUCAUAAGCGGGCUUGCAACAGCUUUGACAAUUAUGUUCCUGAAUAUAUCUGCCAAAGUGG